CAAAUUUCUAAUUAGAUGGAAGCGAUUGUGGCUGCUUAUCAUAUUUUUAGAAAUGUUGCUCAGCCUGGUUUCAUGUACAUUGAAGAUAUGGAUUUAAGGAGAUUUAUGACCAUUUGGCGCUGGUUCAGUUUUUUUUAUCUUUUGCAUUUAAUUGAUGGACUAUUUGUUAUUUGACAGUUGAUAGUUGAAGAGAUGAAUAUCUUAACGACGGUUUUCUUGAGAUAUGACAACGAGAAGAUAUAUAAUCCGAAUUCGGUUUUGUCUACAAAGUCCAUUAGAAAUUUCUAUAGAAGUUCAGAUAUGUCAGAUGGUGUCGAAUUCUCUAUUGACUUUACAACACCUAUUGAGAAGAUUGGGCUAUUAAAAGACAAGAUGAAAAAGUAUUUGGAGUAGAAUCCCCAAUUCUGGCACUUGAAUCACAGUUUUGUCGUGAAGGAGAUCGAAAAUGUGAACAAGAUAAAAAUGGCGAUGUUUUCAAUCAUACGAUGAAUUUUCAAGAGUUUGGUGAAAAGAACAGGAGGAGAAGUGAACUGGUUUUAGCGCUGAAGAAGUUAUUUGAAGAGCUGAAGAUCAAAUGCAAUCUUCUUCCCCAAGACAUUCAUUUGCAUAAACCGAAAACUGCAAGCGGGCCCACCAAAUAAUUACACAAC